rnacentral:lncRNA from 1 species
UACUGAAAUGGGAAAGUACCUACAAAAGCAUAUUGCUUUUUCAGAUUAUAAAGUUAUCUUUUCUAAUAACUUGACUAUUGUAAAUUUUAAGGGAGUUUAGUGGACCUCAGAGCCAUACCUUUCCUGACAUCUCAUCUGUGAUACCUGUUUCCAGAAGCUGACUUCACAGGGUUUCGGGGGCAGGCGGCCACGUGUUUCUGUGCAUGGCUGUGUCAGCUCGUCUCUGGAAUGUUGAGAAACACCAGACUUAACUACAGGUGCAUCUUUCUCUUGUCAUGAAGAAAUUUGAAUUACAAAUUCCAACCAGGAAACAAAAACACAUUUCUUUGUUUUGCUCAGUGUUUAGGUAUCCCCUUACAUGUUCCCCCCACCCCCAAACAUGAUUAAAAGCAACAUCUGAAUAGAAAUUGUGGAAUUUUAAAUAACAAUUUAUUUUAAAAGGUUUAAAUUUUACCAGCCUAAAGAAAGUGAGAAAAUAAAGCAAUUAAGUGUACUUUAAAAGGCAGGGCGGGUGGAGGGAGUAGGUUUCUUUGAUUUGAAUAAUCAGGAACGUUUUGUUUGUUGAACUUUACCAUCUGAGCGGUUCUCUGUCCCGGGAAAAGUGCACUCGCUCCGCACUGUGAUACAUACUUGUGACAAAUCUCAACGUUUGUCAUUGAAAUGGAACAAUAUUUGUGUAAAGCCUGAGAUGAAAAUAGUGAUAUUAGCUUAAGAACUACAAACUAGAAAGCUUUUCACUGUGAGACACAGUAUACUGCUUCUCGUCAUGUAUUUUCCAAGUACUUCUGAAGUGCGAAAGAGAAAAAACUUGCUAAUUUAUUUGACUGUACAAAUAAACUUUGAUAAUUUUUUUAUAUUUUCAUAAACUUACUUUUGCAAAUAUAAAAUUAGAGAAUUUCAUUUGUUCUUUGGAGUCUGUUCCAUUGUACGUCACUACAGAUUUUUCACUUUCUAGCACAAACGUUUAAGUUAUGAGAACACCGAGAACUUAGCAAUUUGGAGUGAUCGGUGUUAGAGACCCUGUCAGUAGGUUACGUUAAAGUGGCGACGAGUUCCAACAUCUAACGAGAUGUGAAGGUUUUUUUACGUGUAAAACAAAAAAAUUUUUCUAAUUUAAAUACAACAAAUGUAAAAAAUCAAGUGUGUUUCUUUAGGCUUACUUGAUAGAAAUUUCUGUAAAUUGUAUUUUAUAUUGCAAAGCAUUAUAUCACUGUACAUUAAAACAUGGAACUUCAUAGCUUUGUUACUUGAAGUAGAAUAAACAUCUACAGAAGG